rnacentral:rRNA from 1 species
CGCGUAGGCGGCCUACUAAGUCAGACGUGAAAUCCCCCGGCUUAACCUGGGAACUGCGUCUGAUACUGGAAGGCUUGAGUAUGGGAGAGGGAUGUAGAAUUCCAGGUGUAGCGGUGAAAUGCGUAGAUAUCUGGAGGAAUACCGGUGGCGAAGGCGGCAUCCUGGACCAUUACUGACGCUGAGGCGCGAAAGCUAGGGAGCAAACG